rnacentral:rRNA from 1 species
AUCUUGCUCCAAAUAGAAAGAUAAUUCAACAUCGAGGUCACAAACUUUUUCUUCUAUAAGAACUUAAGGAAAAAAUUGUGCUGUUAUCCCUACGGUAGCUUGUUAAAUUCUCAAUUUGAGGAUAGGACAAGGAUGAAGAAAAAGAUAUGGUUUUUUACCGCCCCAGUUCAACAAAAGUAAAGUUCGAUAGGGUCUUGUCGUCCUUCUGUUGAAUACAAGUUUUUUUACUUGAAUAAAAAGUUAAAAUAAUUUAGGUAAUAAAGAAAUUUAUAUGUCAAACCUUUCAUUCUAGCCUUUAAUUAAAAGGCAAAUGAUUAUGCUACCUUAGCACAAAAAUAUUGCGGCUAUUUAAGAAAUCAUUGAGCAGGUCCUACUGAAUAUAAGAACAUUCAGAAAUGUUUUUGAUAAACAGACAAUAAAAUAAGGGCCGAGUUCAUAAACCUAAAGUUAUACUAUUCUUUCGAUGGGGAGUUAAAAUUAGAAGAGUAGCAGAUAUUUUACUAAUAAAGUCAUUGUGCGUGGAUUUUAAAGAUAAAGCUUCUUUUAAGAAAAUUAGGUGAAGGGAAAGAGAAAGUUUUUAAACUGAAAGACACUAUUAAUCCUAAAUUUGAGUGAAUUAAAGAAGUGAAUAAUAUGGAAAAAGGGUUAUCCCUUUUAAAAUCUUAGUAUUGUUACUUUAAAAGAAAACCAGAUAUCAUGGAAUGCGAAUGGAAUUUCAUCUCUAUCUCCCCUUUGAAAACCUUUAUGAAACAAGAUUGGCCAAGGGAAAUAGAUCAUUUCAAUUUCGGGAGUUUUUAUUAGAAAAUUAAGGUUGAAUUUCCCUGAUACAAAAGGUACAAAAAUUUUCUAUUAAGCAAUUAAAGGAUCCCUUUCGGUUAAGAAAAAAAAGAAAAAUAAGAGUCAGGAUGGAAAAUUAUUUUGGACAAAAUUUCAGAUAAAAAAAAUCU